rnacentral:rRNA from 1 species
GAUGAACGCUGGCGGCGUGCCUAAUACAUGCAAGUCGAGCGAACAGACGAGGAGCUUGCUCCUCUUACGUUAGCGGCGGACGGGUGAGUAACACGUGGAUAACUUACCUAUAAGACUGGGAUACCUUCGGGAAACCGGAGCUAAUACCGGAUAAUAUAUUGAACCGAAUGGUUCAUUAGUGAAAGACGGUUUUGCUGUCACUUAUAGAUGGAUCCGCGCCGCAUUAGCUAGUUGGUAAGGGUGCGGCUUACCAAGGCAACGAUGCGUAGCCGACCUGAGAGGGUGAUCGGCCACACGGGAACAGAGACACGGUCGAGACUCCGAAGGGAGGAAGCAGUAGGGAAUCUUACGCAAUGGGGGAAAGACUGACGGAGCAAAGCCGCGUGAGUGAUGAAGGUCUUCGGAUCGUAAAACUCUGUUAGUAGGGAAGAACAAAUGUGUAAGUAACUAUGCACGUCUUGACGGUACCUAAUCAGAAAGCCACGGCUAACUACGUG